rnacentral:rRNA from 1 species
GACAGAGGGUGCAAACGUUGUUCGGAUUUACUGGGCGUAAAGCGCGUGUAGGCGGCUUUGCAAGUCGGAUGUGAAAGCCCACGGCUCAACCGUGGAAGUGCAUCCGAAACUGCAUGGCUGGAGUCUCGGAGAGGAAGGUGGAAUGCUUGGUGUAGAGGUGAAAUUCGUAGAUAUCAAGCAGAACACCUGCGGCGAAGGCGACUACCUGGCCUGUUCUUGACGCUGAGGCGCGAAAGCUAGGGGAGCAAACGGG